rnacentral:rRNA from 1 species
UGCAAGUCGAACGCGGAAGCGGCCUUCGGGCCGCGAGUAGAGUGGCGGACGGGUGAGUAACGCGUGGGUGACCUACCUUCGAGUGGGGGACAACCUCCCGAAAGGGAGGCUAAUACCGCAUGACAUCCCGCCCUUGGACGGGCGGCGAUCAAAGCCGGGGAUCUUCGGACCCGGCGCUUGUAGACGGACCCGCGUCCGAUUAUCUUGUUGGUAGGGUAGCGGCCUACCAAGGCGACGAUCGGUAGCCGGCCUGAGAGGGCGGACGGCCACACUGGGACUGAUAUACGGCCCACACUUCUACGGGAGGCAGCAGUAGGGAAUUGUUCGCAGUGGGCGAAAGCCUGACGACGCAACGCCGCGUGGAGGACGAAGACCUUCGGGUUGUAAACUCCUGUCGAGCGGGAAGAACUGCCCGCGGGUCAAUACCCCGUGGGUUUGACGGUACCGCUAAAGGAAGCCCCGGCUAACUCCGUGCCAGCAGCCGCGGUAAUACGGGGGGGGCAAGCGUUGUUCGGAUUUACUGGGCGUAAAGGGCUCGUACGCGGUUGUCCAAGUCGGUUGUGAAAUCCCCGGGCUCAACUCGGGAACUGCAGCCGAAACUGGGCGGCUAGAAGCCGGGAGAGGGAUGCGGAAUUCUGGGUGUAGCGGUGAAAUGCGUAGAUAUCUGGAGGAACACCCGUGGCGAAGGCGGCAUCCUGGCCCGGUCUUGACGCUGAGGAGCGAAAGCUAGGGUAGCAAACGGGAUUAUAUACCCCGGUAGUCCUAGCCCUAAACGAUGAGUGCUUGGUGUGGUGGGUAUCGAUCCCC